rnacentral:rRNA from 1 species
AGCAGUCAUGGCUGGCGUGACGAACACAUGCAAGUCGAGGGGUAUAAUUUAGCUUGCUAGAUUAGAGACCGGCGCACGGGUGCGUAACGCGUAUGCAAUCUGCCUUGUACAAAGGGAUAGCCCAGAGAAAUUUGGAUUAAUACCUUAUAGUAUGUAAGAGUGGCAUCACUUUUAUAUUAAAGAUUUAUCGGUACAAGAUGAGCAUGCGUCCCAUUAGCUAGAUGGUAAGGUAACGGCUUACCAUGGCAACGAUAGGUAGGGGGUCUGAGAGGAUUAUCCCCCACACUGGUACUGAGACACGGACCAGACUCCUACGGGAGGCAGCAGUGAGGAAUAUUGGUCAAUGGGCGCAAGCCUGAACCAGCCAUGCCGCGUGCAGGAUGACUGCCCUAUGGGUUGUAAACUGCUUUUAUACAGGAAGAAACAGUCCCUCGUGAGGGGCCUUGACGGUACUGUAAGAAUAAGCACCGGCUAACUCCGUGCCAGCAGCCGCGGUAAUACGGAGGGUGCAAGCGUUAUCCGGAAUCAUUGGGUUUAAAGGGUCCGCAGGCGGUCAAUUAAGCCAGAGGUGAAAUCCUACAGCUUAACUGUAGAACUGCCUUUGAUACUGGUUGACUUGAGUUAUACGGAAGUAGGUAGAAUGUGUAGUGUAGCGGUGAAAUGCAUAUAUAUUACGCAGAAUACCGAUUGCGAAGGCAGCCUACUACGUAUAUACUGACGCUCAUGGACGAAAGCGUGGGGGAGCGAACAGGAUUAGAUACCCUGGUAGUCCACGCCGUAAACGAUGGACACUAGUUGUUGGCGCAAGCUCAGUGACUAAGCGAAAGUGAUAAGUGUCCCACCUGGGAGUACGAUCGCAGAUUGAACUCAGAUGAAUUGACGGAAGG